AGGGAAGCCAAAAAGGCGGUAAAAAGUGGGGAGGUAGUAGAGGUGGGUUUGGGAUCAAAGAUAUUGUUCGAGGAGGAAGAGGAUGUGAUAGAAGAGGAGCGGAUGGAAAGGGAGAGGGAAGAGAAGGACAGAGAGAAAGAAUAUGUGGUACAUGUACCAUUACCAGACGAGAAAGAGAUCGAGAGGAUGGUGGUGGAACAUAAGAAGAUGGAGCUUCUAAGCAAAUAUGCUAGUGAAGAUUUAAUGGAAGAGCAAAUGGAAGCUAAAGCCAUGCUCAACAUUCAAAGGUAAGUAACGAAAGAGCUUAUGUUUCUACUCGAUGUAGAGAGGAGUUGUUGGCUUUUCUUCGAAAAUGUUGCAUUAAUCCAACUGUGUUUAGCGAUGUUGCACAACAAUGUGAUGAAGGAAGUGCAUAGAACGCAGUUUUAACCAUUUGAGAAUCCUCUAAUCGUUGUAUCGUUAUUUUGGGCAUAUGACGUUGCCUUUGACAUGUCAUUAGUUCAACACUUGGGGGCGUUUUUCCAAGUCUAUAUUCAUCGUAGAAUAA
rnacentral:misc_RNA from 1 species